GUAAGUUUUUCUAUUUGUUCAGCAUCACUCUACUCUCUUUUCUAUUGUAUUAACUUAAUGCUUAAAAAAAAAAAAAAGGACUAACCUACUGUUCUUCACAACUGAAUUCCAUUUAAAAAUCAACGUAUCUUGCCAUUCAUAUACCUCUUCUACAAGUAGAACCAUAAACCGUCUCACCAGAAAACAAAUUUAGGCCUAGAAUAAAGACAAGAACCCAACCUUUCCCUUCACUUAUGUAUUGAAAUCAUACUGUAAGAAAUGAGGAAAUAAUAUAUAUAAAACAGGAAUAAUUUCAUUGGUCAUCAAGCAAUCUGACUUAACCAUUAUUGGUUUGACAGAUACUGAUGACCAAUAUGGAAGAAGAGACUCAGGCUGGUGCUUGCAGAAGAUAAAAGAGAAAGCCAUUGGUUAACAAGACAGUAGAGUACUUGCCUAAUCAUAGUUAUACAGUAAAACACUUCUGUACUGUGACUUUAAAGGAUUAAAACAGGAGCUUAACAAAGGAAUCUGAGAAGUACAGUUAGUGUUGUACAAGGAGCUGCAAUUAAGCAGGAUGUUUUGGUAACUGUCAAACUAAAUAUAUUUUAUCUCGAGGAUUCCACAAAAUGUGACCUUUGAAGCUUCCCAUUACCAUUCAAACAUUUAGCAGGAUCUCUGCCUUAUCCAGUGACACAGGUGGUUACACCCGUGCUAGUGGAUGCAAGAUUCAAUGUCUGUCUUCAUUCUUCCAGACUUCUUGUUUCUGUCUGUUCCAUGGUUCUUCUUCAAAUUAACUCUCAUCCUCAAUGGGAUCAACGCUUCUCAGGAAGAGCUUCCACAAGUGCAAGAUCACAUUGAAAUGGAAGAAGGGUGUCUCUUGUUCCCAGGUUUCAUCCAGUUUGGUAAAAUUGCUGGAUCUACUCCUACUGCAAGCAGACAAAGUUAUCCAUUUUCCUUCUCCUUCAGUCAUACUGUCAUAUACCUGCAUGUAAGUUAUGUCACUGUACCUUGUCUAGACUUAUUAGUUAAAUAAAUAAAUAAAUAAAAUGGUUAUGGGUAAGGUGAAUGGUAA
rnacentral:lncRNA from 1 species